rnacentral:rRNA from 1 species
UCAGGUGCCUAUAUCGGCGGUGUCCACCUCUUCCCAUUCCGAACAGAGAAGUUAAGCCCGCCAGAGCCGAUGGUAUUGCCGUAACAGGUGGGAGAGUAGGUCGGCGCCUAAU